rnacentral:tRNA from 1 species
GGCGGAUGUAGCCAAGUGGAUUAAGGCAGUGGAUUGUGAAUUCACCAUGCGCGGGUUCAAUUCCCGUCGUUCGCCCA